rnacentral:rRNA from 1 species
UACGGAGGGUGCAAGCGUUAUCCGGAUUCACUGGGUUUAAAGGGUGCGUAGGUGGGCAGGUAAGUCAGUGGUGAAAUCUCCGGGCUUAACUCGGAAACUGCCAUUGAUACUAUCUGUCUUGAAUACCGUGGAGGUCAGCGGAAUAUGUCAUGUAGCGGUGAAAUGCUUAGAUAUGACAUAGAACACCAAUUGCGAGGCAGCUUACACCCGAAUAUUGACUCGAGGCACGAAAGCUUGGGAGUCAAACAGG